rnacentral:rRNA from 1 species
UCUUUUAAUUGAAGGCUCGUAUGAAUGGUUGGACGAGAUAUUAACUGUUUCAAUUAAAUUAAAUAGAAUUUUAUUUUUUAGUAAGAAAGCUAAAAUUAAAUUAAAAGACGAGAAGACCCUAUAGAUCUUGAUAAUUUAUAUAUUAUUUUUAUAAAGAAAAAUUUAAAUUUAAUAUAAAAAAUUAUUUUAUUGGGGUGAUAACAAGAUUUAAUAAACUUUUGUAUUAUAAAUACAUAAAUUAAUGAAUUAUUGAUCCAUAAAUAAUGAUUAAUAAAUUAAGUUACCUUAGGGAUAACAGCGUAAUUUUUUUAGAGAGUUCAUAUCGAUAAAAAAGAUUGC